CGGUCUAACUUUCAAACUUACCCAUUUUACCUUUAACCAUGGAGCCUUACAGCUUUUGCAUAAGUCUUCAAUAAUCGAAAGAUAGAACAUUCAAGUCAAGCACUAUGUCUCAAAUUCUUCACAGUACCAAUAUUCUAGAGUUUUGCAAGUUUUCAAAAUAAAGCUCAGAGCAUGAUUGUAUGACACCCUCAAGUCUCUUAUUAUGUAGUAUUUAUGGAUCUCACUGAGGCAUUAAUAAUGUCAUGCCUUCCUACAACUGAGGAUAUGUAUAGUGGAGCUUAUAGGAGUAGCCAUAACAAGGAUGAGCAUACUUGCAUUUCAUAUAUUGUAAAGUCAAACAAUGGAUCCACAGAGAAUCAAGGCACACAAUGAAAUCAAGAUAUGCAUGUGUAAGGAAUAUGGUGGAUAGGUGCAUAUAUGAUAUUUAGUGGCUAAUCCUAAUUCUACUUUUGCACUUUGAAAAUAACUCCCUCCAUUAAAAUUUAGAACUUCUCACGGGAAACCAUGGGAUAUCUUUAUUCUUUCUUUCUUUCUAAUCUUUCCUUUCUCUUCUUUUUUUUAAUCUUGGAGGAGGGCAUCUAUGUACCCAUUAUUUUUACUGUUGGGACACUUGUCCAUCUUUUACUUUGACUUUUCUUCUUCUCUUCUUUUCUUCAAAACUUUUGCGUAGCCACAUGCAUCCUUUUAAUAUAAAUAAUUGGAGAGAUAAUGAUAAGAACUUAGAGGAAUUAAAUGAGGGCUGUCCUAUAGGGUAUAUUUUUGGGUGUUUACUCCUAGUGUAGGAGAAAACAUUUUUUUAAGGUGGAUCUCGAUGAAAGUGGAAAUGACUGUGCUUAAAUCCUAGAGUAGGAGUAAGGCAUAUGUGGGUGGAGUGCGUAUGUGAUCUUAAUUUUAAAAGAAUGACAAGACUCUCAUAAAGUAUACUCCAAAGGUUGACUAAACUCAAUGUAAAGCAAGCAGCAUGAAUGUGCAAAGGUUUUCCUAACUCUAAAAGUAUCAUAUAUGGCUUUGGUAGAAAUUUAAACUUCAUACAAUAGCUCAUCAUGUAAUGUUUUGGGUUUUUGAAAAUAAAUCUCCAGUACUUAGUAAUCCUAGGAAUAAGAUAAAUAGUAGCUUAGACCUUCAUGUAUAAUAUCAACUACCUCGACUCAGCUUAAACAUAUGCCUCCACAAAUUUUAGGUUCAGAGUAAAUUCUUAUAUUAAAGUGGUCAGGUCUAAAACUCAGGAGAAUUCAUGGUUGAAAACUAGGCACUUGAAAGGAGUUACUGUAGAGCAACUAUUCAUCAUCUCCAAGACAAAAUUUUAAUAUCCUCUAAUUUUUAUUUUACUCUAAACUAGACUGACUGUAAACAUACUCUAUGAUCACACCUUAAUAUAUAGAUAAGUAUUUUGUUUUUUAUUUUAAUUUAUUACUCAUCUUUUUAUUUCUAUUAGACUCACAGGACUUAAAGACAUAGAUCUUCAUGUGCCCAUAUAUUUUUCGUGUUUUUAUAUUUUGUUAUGAUACUAUUGUGAACCUUCAUUUGCUCACAUAUUUUUGGUAUUUUUGAUGACUGUAUCAAAUAGACUCGAUAAUUGCCUAGGUAUAGUUACGUGAUGACUAGGGGAUGCUCCUCCCCUAAGCUAGAUGUUUGCAAUAGUUGGUGUUUAUGAUCUUCAGAGUGAGCUAACCGACAACGCUCUAGGUGGGUGCCACUAAUAGACUCUCUCCUUGUCAAUAUGUUGUUCCUGCAUAAUUACGCUCAAAACGAAGACCAAAACUCGAGGCUCGAAUUUAAUAAUGGGUUAGUGGUCAGCUAGUAAGUGAUUGAUUGUUCUUUGAGUUGAUUUGAAUUGACACAUUCUAGGAUGAUUCUCUUUUUUUAGAAUUUUCUAGUUUAAUUAUGUAGAAAUUAAAUAUGUGUGCAUGAUAUAUAUAGUUAUAUUUUUAUGCCUCCACAAAGAAUAUUUUUUCUUAUGGGGCUUAGGUUUUUUCAUACUGUGAGAAAGUAAAUACAUGAGCUAUUGUUCUUUGUGCCACCCUAGUAAAUAUUACUAUAUGGUUAUCAUAAGUUUAUUCACGUGGGGCUUUAAAUAUUUUAUGAUGUACUAAAUGAAGGAAUAAAGAUUUAUAUGUUCUUUUAUUUUAUUUUUAAUAUUUAUGAAGAUGAAGAUGUUAAGGUAAAUUUAUUAAUGUAGAUAGAAAAACUAAUUAAAUAUAUAACUACCAUAUUACCUUAUGGCAAGAAUAUAAAUUAUUUUAAAAUUUACCAAAGGACUUCUUCUUCUACUGUGUAUCGUACCAUCUUGUGAGAUGGAGGUCUCGUUAGUUGCAUACCUCUAGUGAUAAUGGUGUCACCUUUGUUCUUUGAUUUGGCCAGCAGGUUGAAGGAGAGUUUUAAUAGUAGGUGGCAGCAUCUUGCUCAUUGUGGAUAUUCACAGAACUUUCACUUGUAGAAUUAAUAAACUUUGCUUGAUGUGUUGUCCUGUUUGCAAAACUAAUGUAAAGAUCAAGUGCAUGGGCUCUGCUGGUGGAAAAACACCAACAAAACCAAAUCUAUUUAUUUAGUUAUUUUUCUCCAUCCUCAGGCACAUUAAACAAGAUAAAGUUGUGUUACAUGAUUUAUUUAUAUAUGAGUGGUAAGAUCAAAAGAUUAAGCAUUUAAUGUUGCAUUUAAGUUCACAUGACAGAAAGGAAUGAAAUUGCUUAACCAAUGGAAUGAUUGUCUAUCUAUAUAUAAAUUUUCAAAUUAGUAUGGCUAUCAUCUUCCCAAGAUUGAUUAUAAUGUUUUAACUUGUUUAGUUAAGACUAAGAUUAAAAGAAUGGUGCCAUGAACAAUUUUAAAGAGCAAAGCAUAUUGAGUUAAUCAAUUUAAGUUGUAACUCUAAUAAGUUUGUGUCUUCACUUAUGUGCACACCAAGAUCAAGAGACGAGAGUGACCACUUAUCUUAGAAUAUUACCUUCAUUAUUAGAGCGUGAUGGCACUAACUGAUGAAUGGUAAAUGACUAGUGGUCCUUCCUCUUGCAUCUUGAGUUGUUUAUAAACAUCUUGUCUCCUCUAUUGCACUCAUUCUUUUGUCAUCUUUCGCUUCUUUAUUCUAUUGACUCUUUUCACUCUAGUCAUUAUUAUGCCUACAACAGAUUAGUGGACAACACAUACCUGAAGGAGUAUAUAAGUUUUUAACAUUCGUUGCUUGUACAGUAUUUUAUUUUGCUCUAUCUAUGCUAAUGAAAAGAUAGUAUUAGUAUUGUUUUAGCAUAGAUCAUGUUUUAUACAGAUAUGGCUCGAGGCAACGUAACUUGUACUAGAAGAUAAAGUGAGUGAAUCACUGAUGUUCACAGUUAUUUCAUUUAUGAUUAACGAGUUGUGUCUUCUUCUACAAAAUUAUCAAAGUUCAUG
rnacentral:lncRNA from 1 species